AGUCACGGGGUUCAUGGAGAUACAUGAUCUAUUGACUACAAAUCUAUUAUCUCUCUAGUUUCAAUUACGAUUUUAAUUGAUAUUAACCACUUAAGGGUAAUUGUAACAGAUCCUAGAGCGAGAUUCAGAUGUCUGCCGGUUCCAACACUUAGGGGCUAUGUGACCUUGGGCAAGUUACAUGACCUCCCUGAGCCGUAAUAGGGUGAUCAGUCAAUUGCCCAUAUAGAUAGAUGUCUGCCUGUCAGUGUUGCUGAUGGUCUGAAGUAAUAAUAGGUGAAAGUCUUAGCUUAAAGCAAGCACUCAACAUGUUUGUUCUUUGUCCUCCAAGGAUCAUCAUGAACAGAGUGUUGGAGGGCAGAGAGGCUGGGGAAGGAGCGUGGAAAUUGUCAGAAGCAGAUCGUAUUGCAAACCAAAUAAAAAUCAAGCCCAAAUCCAUCUGAAAGCUGGAUUCACCUGACCCGUAACCUCGGUCUAGGAGCCUCGGCCACUUUGCUUCCCUCGCUGUUCCCCCUUGCAACUGAGGCACCGUGGGUUUCUUGAGAGCAAGAAACUGAGAGCAAGCGGGACACGGACGGCGUGAAUGUCCACGGUGAGUCACCUGAUGCUGGCGAGGUCGGUGAGGCGGGCCUGGAAGGCACGGAACCACCGGAUGAGGACCAGUGGAGGCACUAGGAGACCAGGCGGCGUGGCCUCAGGGAAAUGCCAGGCCAAUCAAACCAACAGGCCCAACUUACCCUGCGCCCCCUGCAGCACCAGCUGACUGCCCCGGGGCCUGAAAGCUCAUCCUCCUGAAUCUCUUCGGUUGCUGCCAGGAACUGGUGGUCUCCUUGGCCCCUCCCGGGGAGGGGGGCAUCAGUCCCCAGGCUUCAGCCUGAGCCCACGUUUCUGCCCAGUACUUCACUCCUCAGUUGCCAGGUGAGGAAGCUGAAGCCCCGAGACGGGCAGAGAACAUAUCAAAGUCACAGCCAACACCUCGG